CAGGUCGUCCUCAAGGAUUUACCCGAUCCAGAAGAUGGGACCAGGAUCCGGAAUUUCAAUCUCUGCCGCCCGUCUGGUCGUCCCCAGGGCAAGAUCCGGUUGAAGAUGGCGAUCAAGGAACGACCCUUGCCUCCCCCUCCUCCUCCUCCUCAACCGUUGGUGCAUACGAUGCCGGAUUACUUCUACUCCCCGAGACCGUCGCCGCCUCCACCGCCGGUCCACACGCUGCCAGAUUACCCUUUUGCCCCUCCCAUGGGAUAUUACUACCAAACUGCCCCGCCUCCUCCCCGAGGGUACCCUCCGUCUAUGUACUCAACGCUUCCGCCUCCUCCCCCC
rnacentral:lncRNA from 1 species